AGCGAACGCUGGCGGCAGGCCUAACACAUGCAAGUCGAACGAACCCUUCGGGGUUAGUGGCGGACGGGUGAGUAACACGUGGGAACGUGCCUUUAGGUUCGGAAUAACUCAGGGAAACUUGUGCUAAUACCGAAUGUGCCCUUCGGGGGAAGGAUUUAUCGCCUUUAGAGCGGCCCGCGUCUGAUUAGCUAGUUGGUGAGGUAAUGGCUCACCAAGGCGAUGAUCAGUAGCUGGUCUGAGAGGAUGACCAGCCACAUUGGGACUGAGACACGGCCCAAACUCCUACGGGAGGCAGCAGUGGGGAAUCUUGCGCAAUGGGCGAAAGCCUGACGCAGCCAUGCCGCGUGGAUGAUGAAGGUCUUAGGAUUGUAAAAUCCUUUCACCGGUGAAGAUAAUGACUGUAGCCGGAGAAGAAGCCCCGGCUAACUUCGUGCCAGCAGCCGCGGUAAAAC
rnacentral:rRNA from 1 species